UACGAAGGGUGCAAGCGUUAAUCGGAAUUACUGGGCGUAAAGCGCGCGUAGGUGGUUCUCUAAGUUUGGUGUGAAAUCUCCCGGCUUAACCGGGAGGGUGCGCCGAAAACUGGAGGGCUAGAGUGUGGGAGAGGUAAGCGGAAUUCCCGGUGUAGCGGUGAAAUGCGUAGAUAUCAGUCGGAACACCGGUGGCGAAGGCGGCUUCUUGGGCCGUACCUGACGCUGAGGCGCGAAAGCCAGGGGAGCGAACGGGAUUAGAAACCCUAGUAGU
rnacentral:rRNA from 1 species